AGUGAACGCUGGCGGCAGGCCUAACACAUGCAAGUCGAACGAGUGGCGGACGGGUGAGGAAUACAUCGUAAUCUACUCUGUCGGGGGGGAUAACGUAGGGAAACUUACGCUAAUACCGCAUACGAUUGAAUGAGCCGAUGUCGGAUUAGCUAGUUGGCGGGGUAAAGGCCCACCAAGGCGACGAUCCGUAGCCGGUCUGAGAGGAUGAUGGGCCACACUGGAACUGAGACAGGGUCCGGACUCCGACGGGGGGCAGAAGUGGGGAAUAUGGGACAAUGGGGGCAAGCCUGAGCCAGCCAGACCGGGUGGGUGAAGAAGGCCUUCGGGUUGUAAAGCCCUUUUAUUGGGAAAGCGGUACCCAAAGAAUAAGCACCGGCUAACUUCGUGCCAGCAGCCGCGGUAAUUC
rnacentral:rRNA from 1 species